UGUGUACCAACCGCCAGUGGAUAUACAUGUACACACACGCAUAUAAAAGGGAAAAAUUCAACCUCAUAUAUGUCAGUCUCAAAGUCUGGCAUCCUAUUUGUCAACCUCGAACCAAUAAGAACUUUGAAACCUUCGACAUAUUUUAUACCAGAGAACUCUCUGUAUCUGACACCUCCAUUGAUAUGUAUAUCAUACAUUUCUUUUAUUUGUGAGAGUAAUCAUCAUAUAUUCAUGUCUCUGCAUCACAGAUGGUUAAUUUGAUGCAAAGACGAUUAAAAAAAAUCUUACAACAUUAGAGCUACUGUGCUCAGUCCCUAAUUGGAGUAGCUGCUUGUUGUAUUCUUGUUUUUUUCAUAUCAUUCAGGGAGGUAGUAUGUCUGAACUGGAUCAGUGGUUCAUCUAUUGCAUCAACAAUUUUGCCUUGUUUUUUUUGGACAACAACAGGAGGGGUUACCCCCUACUGGUUGCAUAUAUUUGAAAAAAGCUGUAUAUUGUAUCCUGAAUUUCUACUUGACACCGAUUUUGCCUUGUUAUUUGGUGAAUAUGGGCACCUUAUACCACUUCGCAAUAUACCGACAACCAAAGAACACACUCCGAUCAAGACAUAAGAAAGUGUGCACACCUCAUGCUUUUGUAAUAAAUUCUGCAGUCUAUGUUUACAUUUGCAAGCACUAGUUACCUAUCAGUACAUAAUAUGCUCCAGUUUACCAUUGCACAACACCACCUAGUUGAGCAACUUUGGGUUUUCUGUCUCCUCAGUGCAGAAAAUACAUAUUCAAAAUCUCUAACCUGUUAUCUGCAAAAGAGAAAUUUGAAUUUUGUUUAUGGCACAUUGGGAGUUUCGGACGUUGCUUACAGCAACAGCCAAGAACUGCUUAGGGAAUGGUGAAGAAGAUAAUACCUUCAAAUUAAUCCUACUCACAUGGUAGCGGGGCAGAAUUAUGUUUGACUUUGCCAAGGAAGAUUCUAUUCACUAAUUCCGUACACAACUAUGAGCAGAGCUCGAACACUAAAAAUUUAAAACAUAGACUGUAUUUUAGAUUACACUUUCUACUAUAAAUUCUAUGCUUAUAGAUCGGACAUCAGACAUAAACAGUGCGCCUCUGCCAUAGGCUAGCCACGGUGAAGACUAUCGAGGCCGAAGAGAGUGAACUCGUCAACUACAAAGUCAUGCAAGACUUAGCUCUACAGUCCACAGCCCCUUCUUGAGCUAUUCAACUUUAUUUUGCACUCCCGGUGCCUCUUAUUUCGAGUAGACCUUACUGUAGGUAGCUAGUACCAUUAAUUAGCCUUAUUUUUCCUACCCUUCACUCAUGAAAGAAGUGUUUAUGGCUUUACAAAAUGAAAAAAAACGAGAUAGCAUGCAAGCUAAACCAUGCAUAUAUUAGAGCAUGAGGAAGUGGGCAGUAUGUACAAUGCUCCAUAUCUGUAUAGUUAUGGCCUAUCGCUAAUGGUUCACCAACCGCUUGCUAGUAAGACAUGAGCAUAUGCAAUUGUUAUAUAUGUUAUUAAAACUCAGAAGGGGUGGGGAGUGUAUGAUCAUAUUCUCACUUUAAAUUCAUUAUACGCAUCAAUUUGCUGUCCUGUAUAUGUCAGCCUGAAACUAAGAGGAUUCCUUCAACACACAGUAUUUAUCAGACAACGCA
rnacentral:lncRNA from 1 species